rnacentral:lncRNA from 1 species
GAAAGAUAAAUUUUAGAUUCAAAGAGGAUGGAACAAUAUGGCACAAAAUUGAUCUUUGGAUUACUCCACCAUGUUUGGUUUCAAGCCACUCCUAAGCACAAUCCAAACUAGGACGACAAAAAGAUCAACUCACACCUCUCUCCCUCUGCCAAAGGCUCUCACAAAGCAAAUGAGAAAAUCCCCACCAAAACAAGCAAAGGGAUGGCUACCCCAACCAGCCAUCUCUCCUAUAUAUAGGCAUCUGGAAAAUAUCCAGAAUACCCUUACAUGAAGCACACAACUCAAAUACCCUCCAGGGCUAAAAUUGUCCAACGUUUUCCUCGUACAUCUGAUGGACCCGGCGCCUUCACGACUUCGCUUCGCCUCGACGCAAGCUUCGUGUGGUGUCACGCAUCCUCUGACUCGACGUCGUCCAGCCGCAUCGAAAUCGUCCCCUGAUUUUGAGGCCAAACUGGUCAAACCCUCUUGCACACCCCGCAAGCGUGACUCAUCCCCGAUUUUGAGGCCAAGCCGAUCAAACCCUCUCGCACGCCCUGCAAGGCAUGAUUCACCCCCUUGUUUUGAGGUCAAACCAGUCAAACCCUCUUGCACGCCGCGUACGACGUGACUCACCGAUGUUGAUGCGUGUCCGGUCUCCGCCAAGCCUUCGACGCCUUCAAGUCUUUCGCUCCUGGCUCCCGGGCCACCUACUCGACUCGCCUCCGUCCCGCUUGACUCGACCGACGCCGUCUCCAUCUCGUCCGUGUACUCUUGCUCUUUCAUGCACCAUAUGGAUCGUCCAUGACUCCGCUUGGACUCCUCGGGUCCCUCGAUCCAAACAUUCAUGCCCACCCUUCACAACGCUAGUACAUUGGUAUGAACCUUUCGCUUGACCUUCACCUCAUGCCGUCGACCGCCAUGUCGCAUCCUACACCUGCACAUCACAAGCCAAGAGACACAACACACAAGAUAUGUUUUAUACAAACACCACAACACAACUCACACAACUCACACAUCUAGUUAGCCGUUAGCAUAAUCAAGUGCAUAUGGAAUAUGGACUCAACCGGUAAAGACUCAAAUCAUCUAGUUAAUCACUCAUCACAAAUAGACCAAGACACAUGUCAACUUGGUCUCUCAAUCUCCUUCAUAAGUGCAUUGACAAAAGAUGAUUUGAAAGCAAAAGAGAACUCAUUCAAGUGCCCAAAAGCCAAAUAAAAGCAAACACAAGGCAACUUGAUAUGAAAAAGGAUCAUGCAAGCUCUGAACAAAAAACUCUAGGUUCCCAAAGAAGAGACAAAAAACUUAACACAACCGAAGAGUCAAGAAAAAGACACAAGAGCUUCAUGAAUCCCAAAAUGCCAUCAAAGCCAUUUCAAUAUUUGUCAAACGCUCAUCACAAUUAAAUCAAGGUUCAUAUCAACUUGAUUUUCUCAAUCUCCCCCUUGAUGAGUGUGUUGAAACCAUUCAAGCACAAAGAAAUGGUUUGAGAGGCAAAAGUCAAAAAUCUCAUCCAAGUGAUCGAAAGCUAAGUAAAAACUAAGAUCAAAGUUACUUGAGAUGAGAACAACCAUAAAAGCCAAGUUGUGAAACCAAUUAGGCAAAGCUCCCAUUCAAGUGAUCGAAAGCCAUGUAAACGCUAUGAUUAAAGUCACUCGGCAUGAGAAGCAUCACAAAGACCAAAUCAACUUGGAAAAGUCUCAGUUCCCAAAGACAUGGGCAACGGCUCGACACAACCGAGACAAAGAACACAUGAUCUCUCAAGAAGAGGCAGAAAGGGCUCAACACCAAUCAUGUGAAGAUCGAAAACACAUGAUCCCUCAAGAAGAGGCAGAAAUGGCUCAAAACCAAUCAUGUGACGAUCGAAAACUCAAACCAAAUGCCAGCUCCUCAAGAAGAGGUAAAAAGCUCAACACGACCGACAAAAGAGCAAAAGAGAGCACAAAACUAGCACAAAGCU